UUUGAUAAGCUGACAAGGGACA
rnacentral:miRNA from 1 species